AGGUAACAGAUUGUAAUAAAAUAAUGGUUAAAUUGGAUUUUCAUUGUGUUCAAUGGUGUUAUUUGCCCCCUAGUGGCGCUUUCUGGUACUUAGAAAGACGACGCAAACAGGAAGUACAGAAUUUGUUUUGCACGCAUAGAAGCAGCUACAAACAACGCUACGGUGCAGGUCUUUCAAUGUAGUUAUUUCUUGUCACGCUUCAGCCUUGGAAACAUAUUUGUUUCAGCCUCCUGUACUCAGCGAUCUCCAUCUCCAGCCUCAUCUUGAUGUCCAGGAGGAUCUGGUACUCGGAGGCCUGCUGCUGGAUGCUGACGUUGAGCUGCUGCAGCUCCUCCUCCAUGCUGUUGAUACAAACCUGCAGCUGGCUCAGCUGGGAGCCGUGGCGGCCGUUUAUAUCAGCGACGCUCUGCUCCAGGCAUGUCAAUGGGUGGAUUGUUGGUGUGCGUCCUCAUGGCAGCGCUAGUGGGGGUUGGUUUGACAUCACCCGUAUCCAAGUCGGAUGGCAACACCAAACAGGGUGGGAUACUGCCACAGCUACUGGCCAGGAGGGAGGGAGUGUGGAAUGCUGCGGAGAACGUCGCUAAGCGGGAGCAAGACACUCAAAUGAGCAUGGCACGGAUGGCGAGGACGGCGCACCUGUCGGAGGACCAGCGCGAGUUCAUGUCCAAGCAAAUCAAGCAGGCCAUCUCAGGUUUGUAUUGUUCGCAGAGUUGAUAAACGAGUGUCCGGGCCGGGACUACCAAGGAUGGGUCGACUUUGGACGGCGGAGUGCAGAGUAGAGACGUACCAAAGGCCAACUGAGGAACGUCUGCCUGCACUGGCGUUACUCAGGAAUACAUCCCUAUUUGAAAUAGAUUGUAUAUAUUUUAAUUUGCUUAUAUUGAUUUUUAUCCAAGUGUCAAAAUAAACAUGUUUGCAGUA